rnacentral:tRNA from 1 species
GCCUAUUUGGCUCAGUUGGUAGAGUGUAAGACUCCUGAUCUUGGGGUAGUGAGUUUGAGCCUCAUGUUGGGUG